UGGGGAAUCUUGCCCAAUGGGCGCAAGCCUGAGGCAGCAACGCCGCGUGCGGGAUGACGGCCUUCGGGUUGUAAACCGCUUUCAGCAGGGACGAAAAUGACGGUACCUGCAGAAGAAGCCCCGGCCAACUACGUGCCAGCAGCCGCGGUAACACGUAGGGGGCAAGCGUUGUCCGGAAUCAUUGGGCGUAAAGAGCUCGUAGGCGGUUUGGUAAGUCGAGUGUGAAAACUCCAGGCUCAACCUGGAGACGCCGCUCGAGACUGCCAUGACUAGAGUCCGGUAGGGGACCACGGAAUUCCUGGUGUAGCGGUGGAAUGCACAGAGAUCAGGAGGAACACCGGUGGCGAAGGCGGUGGUCUGGGCCGGAACUGACGCUGAGGAGCGAAAGCGUGGGGAGCAAACAGG
rnacentral:rRNA from 1 species